rnacentral:rRNA from 1 species
UACGAAGGGGGCUAGCGUUGCUCGGAAUCACUGGGCGUAAAGCGCACGUAGGCGGCUUGUUAAGUCAGGGUGAAAUCCCGAGGCUCAACCUCGGAACUGCCUUUGAUACUGGGGAUCUCGAGUCCGGAAGAGGUUGGUGGAACUCCGAGUGUAGAGGUGAAAUUCGUAGAUAUCGGAAGAACACCAGUGGCGAAGGCGGCUCGCUGGCCCGGUACUGACGCUGGAGGUGACGAAGCGUGGGGAGCAAACAGG